AGCAAACAGGAUUAGAUACCCUGGUAGUCCACGCUGUAAACGAUGAGUACUAGGUGUCGGGGGUUACCCCCUUCGGUGCCGCAGCUAACGCAUUAAGUACUCCGCCUGGGAAGUACGCUCGCAAGAGGGAAACUCAAAGGAAUUGACGGGGACCCGCACAAGUAGCGGAGCAUGUGGUUUAAUUCGAAGCAACGCGAAGAACCUUACCUAAGCUUGACAUCCCAAUGACAUCUCCUUAAUCGGAGAGUUCCC
rnacentral:rRNA from 1 species